CAUCCCAGUCCCCAGUUAGUCCCUCACAAGCUACUGUGGGAUUCGGUGUCUCGCCCAGUUUUUCUGCAGCGGGUUCAUAUUAAAAAUCUCGAGGGUGGACUGUGGCCUUGCCUUCCCUCCUGUUCCCCACGGUGAGAUGCACAUAGCUCGCUGCGCUGUGCCAGACCACACACACGUCACACCGUCACCCUCAGCGAACAAUGCAUGAUCCUUAAGGGACCAGCCCACAUUUUGCAGACCAGGAAACUGACUCCGGAAGAGGACAGGACUCAUCCAGAGGUGGCGGCCAACAAGCCUAGAAUUUGUCUUUGGAGCUUUUGCUGCAUUUGAUUGCACUCCUCAUUUCUCUUGAGCUCUGGCCUCAAAGGGCUGCGUUUCUGCACUCCACCACACGCUCUGCAUGGAGUUGGCAGAAGCAGCUAUGGCAAGGGCGCGGGAGGGAGGUGGGAACUCCAGGAGUCCAUCCUCAAGUACUGCCGGCCUGCGGAGGAGUGAGGGGAGGGAGACCCCAGGCCUGCCCAUAGCACACACGCCACACUGAGCCGGCCAGCUCAGCUGCCCGGUGUUGGGGCAAAUAGCUUCUCAGCCCUCACCAGUGUCUUACUGGGUGAAGUGCAUUGCAAGCCCUGACUCCAUAGGCUGCCCUGGCCUCACAGGGGUGUGCCCUCUGUGCCCUGCCAGUGGGCUCGGGUGUAGGGAGGGGUGUGGGGUGUUUUGCAGAGUUGUUAGGAGAGGAUGGAAUUGUCCACCUAGAAGGGAUGAGAAUGACCCACAUCGUCUUUAUGUAGAAGGGUGAGAAGAUACUUCAAAACUCCAACAGAAAGAUGUGUUUGUUUAGAGCUGCGACGUUUCUGUGUCGUUUUUCUUCAUAUUGGUCAAAGCCCCUGAAGUGCUGUGCCUGGAGAUACCAUUGUGGACCCUGGAGAGGCACCCUGCAGCUUAUGCGGUAAAACCUCGACCACCCCAAACCUGGUCAGUUUGAGGGGAGCUGCUGCCACAGUAUCCACUGAGGCCGGGGUUCCAGUCGUGUGGAGCAGCAGAGGGGAGUCUGACAGGGCCACCUCCUCCACAGAGAGAACUGGCAGCCGACUGCACGGCCGGAGCGAAGGCCUGGGGGUGUGGAGCCUGGAAGACCAGGGACACCUGAGGCAGGAGGUGCAGCGUGUGGAGUGGGGAACCCGAGACGGACUAGGGCCUGUGCUCAGGAUCAGGCAGGCAGAGUGGAGAGGGAGAGACGGAGCCCUGGAAGGGGAGCAGGAGGAGGGGGAGUAGUGGCAGCAGCCCAGGCCAAGCGUGUGUCCUGCAAGUGCUAGGACCAGCUACCCCUCCCCAUGGCCUCCAAGCCGGCUGCCGGGAAGAGCGGAGGGGAGAAGCGGAAGAGGGUGGUGCUGACGCUGAAGGAGAAGAUUGACAUCUGCACGCGCCUGGAGAAGGGCGAGAGCCGGAAGGCGCUGAUGCAGGAGUACAACGUGGGCAUGUCCACCCUCUACGACAUCAGGGCCCACAAGGCACAGCUGCUUCGGUUCUUUGCCAGCUCGGACUCCAACAAGGCACUGGAGCAGCGGCGCACGCUGCACACGCCCAAGCUGGAGCACCUGGACCGCGUCCUGUACGAGUGGUUCCUGGGGAAGCGCUCCGAGGGCGUCCCCGUGUCAGGCCCCAUGCUCAUCGAGAAGGCCAAGGACUUCUACGAGCAGAUGCAGCUCACUGAGCCCUGUGUGUUCUCUGGAGGGUGGCUUUGGCGCUUUAAGGCCAGACACGGCAUUAAAAAGCUAGAUGCAUCCAGUGAAAAGCAGGCAGCCGACCACCAGGCCGCGGAGCAGUUCUGUGGGUUUUUCAGGAGCUUGGCUGCCGAGCACGGGCUGUCCCCCGAGCAGGUUUACAACGCUGAUGAGACCGGCCUUUUCUGGCGGUGCCUGCCAAAUCCCACUCCAGAAGGCGGGGCCGUGCCUGGCCUCAAGCAGAGCAAGGACCGGCUGACCGUGCUGAUGUGUGCCAACGCCACGGGCUCCCACAGGCUCAAGCCCUUGGCCAUCGGGAAAUGCAGCGGCCCCAGGGCUUUCAAAGGCAUCCAGCACCUGCCUGUAGCCUAUAAGGCCCAGGGGAGCGCCUGGGUGGACAAGGAGAUUUUUUCCGAUUGGUUCCAUCAUAUCUUUGUGCCCUCGGUGAGAGAGCACUUCAGAACCAUAGGUUUGCCAGAAGACAGCAAGGCCGUUCUCUUGCUGGACAGCUCCCGGGCUCACCCGCAGGAGGCCGAGCUGGUGUCCAGCAAUGUUUUCACCAUCUUCCUGCCUGCCAGCGUGGCCUCACUGGUGCAGCCCAUGGAGCAGGGCAUUCGGAGAGACUUCAUGAGGAACUUCAUUAACCCUCCGGCCCCCCUGCAGGGCCCCCACGCCCGCCACAAUAUGAAUGAUGCCAUAUUCAGCAUGGCCUGUGCCUGGAACGCAAUUCCCACUCACGUCUUCAGGCGGGCCUGGAGGAAGCUGUGGCCAUCAGUUGUGUUUGCUGAAGGCUCCUCCUCUGAGGAGGAGGUGGAGGCAGAGCACUUCCAAGCGAAGCCCCACAACAAAUCCUUUGCGCACAUCCUGGAGCUUGUGAAGGAAGGCUCCUCCUGCCCAGGCCAGCUUCGCCAGCGCCAGGCCGCUGGCUGGGGUGUAGCAGGAAGGGAGGCAGAAGGGGGACAACCCCCUGCUGCCACGUUGCCAGCAGAGGUUGUGUGGGGUUCAGAAAAGACUCUGAAAGCUGACCAAGACGGUGGAGGAGAUCCUGGUGAGGGUGAAGAGGCGGCCUGGGAGCAGGCAGCCGUGGCCUUCGACGCAGUCCUGCGCUUUGCGGAGCGGCAGCCAUGCUUCAGUGCACAGGAAGUGGGGCAGCUGCGAGCGCUGCGUGCCGUGUUCCGGAGCCAGCAGCAGGUGAGGAGGCGGCGUGGCGCCCUCGGGGCUGUGGUCAAGGUUGAAGCCCUCCAGGAGGGCCCUGGUGGCUGCGGGGCCACGGCUCACUCUCCCUUGCCCUGCUCAUCCACAGCAGGUGACAACUGAUGGCUUCUCUGCCCUGCCCUGGCCACUGGUCCUGUUUCUCCACGCACCCUGGAGUGGCAUGGUCCUGUGCCCCGACCCCACCUGAGGCAGGAGGGCAUGUGCAGACACUUAAGAGCCCUUCCAGGAGCGGGUCACCCACGGGUGUGGCUCGGGUGCUCAGGACAGUCUGUGCCUGAGGUUCCUGUCGAUACAGGUUUUAUCACUUGCCAUGUCAUCCGAAAGUAAGGAAAUGUUUUGGAAGGGUCCACCCUAGCCUAGAACAAGCCAGAGCCUGACUCUGGCUGGAAUGGGGGCCAGGCUUGGCUGAUCUGGCCUCAUGUUCGCUGGCUGAUCAUUGCAGUAUCAGAGGGUGGAGAUGUCUGUCUGUCCAUGUGGAGAGAAGUUGCCCUCCAGGCCGACAGGAGGCCAUGCCCACCGCCCCUGGACAAACUUCGUCUCAGAAGGCUCUAUCUGCUGGGCUGGCGGCCAUCCCCUUGUUGGGUGGACCCCAGGCACGGUGCCUGAGGGCCGAUGGCCGAGAGCUGGGACUCAGUUCUUGGCCUGCUCUCGGCUGAAGAGGCCGCACGUCUCACUUCAGUCGUGGCCUUGUUCAGCAGAAUGACUGGAACCAUCCUCUGUUACCCGCAGAUGCCAUCCCAUGGGCUCUGGCCCCAGGAUGUGGGGGCCCCACGGAGAGUUGACUUGGUAGAGUUUCUUUCCGUGAAGAAAGUAGGAGUGGCUGACCAGGCCCUGCUCAUCACCCGGAUACAGGACACAGACCUUGCGUGGUAUUUUGGCAUUUUGGCUCAGAGUGCAAUGUGCCAUGUUGCCCAGAAUUUCAUACUUACGGCCUUUACAUGAAUACGUCUUGAUCAGGCAUUCAGAGAUUAGUCUUAGGUUUGCACGUAAGUCACUGGAAACAGUAAAACAGGUUGCUUAGAUUUCCAACAAUAUUUGUGCUCUUUUCCCCAGCUGUUGGCACGUUAGUAAUACCUUUGGGGAGGAGUUGUCUGUCCUGGUCAGUGUUCACGGAUGCGGUUGUAAGAGGAUGUGGUGAUUUUCUCCAUGUCUGUAGCUGCUUUGCAGCAUCUCCAUUUCACGGGCAGCACUCGCUUCCUGCAGCUGAGAUUCUAGAAUGCCCUAUGUCCACAGUGAUUAGCCUCGUCUUUGAGUGAGCAUGAAAUAGGUGCAUUGUUCUUUUUUUUCAUUCUUGAGGCAGGGUCUCACUCUGUUGACCAGGCUGGAGUGAAGUGGUGUGAUCACAGCUCACUGCAGCCUCGACCUCCCUGGCUUGAGUGAUCCUCCCACCCCAGCCUCCUGAGUACCUGGGACUAGAGGCGUGCACCGUGACGCCUACCCUUUUAUUUUUUUGUAGAGACAGGGUCUCACUAUGUUGCCAAGGCUAGUCUUGAACUCUUGGCCUCAAGCGAUCCUCCCUCCUCAGCCUCCCACAGUGCUGGGAUUACAGGCGUGAGCCCCAGCACUCGGCCUAAAUGGGUUUUUUUUUGCUAUGUUAUUUUCAGUGCUUUGCUCUUGAAUUCUUUUCCCCUCUUAAAUUUGUAUCAUUUGGCUGAGUCAGCACGUAGUUUGCAUUCCAGCGUCUGCUGUUGAUUCCACUGAAACCUUUGUUCUCAUGAGGGAGAGGAUUUGGCUCGCUGUGGUUUCUUGUAUUUUCACAUCUCUGCCGAUACAGGGGCAAAAGUCAUUGCUGACAGAGCCCUCCCUAUGUCCUGAAAGUGUGUGUUUCUUGCUUUGAAUGCAUGUGUGACGGUUAUAAAAGCCAAAUAGUUUCUAAAGAUCUCGGUGCUGAACGACAGUCCCAGUUGUUCCCAUUUGGGUUCCGUUGCCUUCGUGGUGUCACCCCCACUGUUUGCUUCCUGUGUCUGGGGAACUUCUGCACAUCCGUGUACUUCGUGCCAUUUCUGGGCUCACGUGUCACUCCUAGCAGAGCCUCAUAACCAAGAUUGCUGGAUUGCAGCUGCUUGAGGCAACGCAGGAGGUUAGAACAUGUCUUGAGGGCUCUGAAGCAGCAGGACAUCCUGGGUGGGUGGAGCUGAGGAGGGCACAGGGCAGGCCGAGCUCCUGGCUGGCUCUCCUGAAUCCUCUGGAGAUGGCUUGUCCCUGUCAGACUGUAGCUCUUCAGGACCUGAGCUCUUCCCGCUCUUGACCUGCUUCUGUGCUGACUGUGCUGGGCUCAUGGGUAGAUGUUUGUCCCCAGUGAGUGGCUGUGUCCUCAGGGUGCCCCUCUUCGAGACUAACUGCAACAAGGCUUGGAACCUGACUCUAGGCACAGCCCCUGUGGCUGGAAUCCCUUGUGCCACCCAGGGGACUUGGGCCCUGCUCCUCCUGCAGCCCCUCCUCACCUGGGCUCGCUGCUGCAGGUCUCCCUGGAGUGAGGUUUUUAGGGAGCCCAGAGCUUACUCAUCUCUGCGCUGCUGGGCCCGGCUGCCUGCUGCAUACUUCCUGUCUCCAUCCUGUCCCCCAGAAUGCUUCGUGGAGACUGCUGUUUCCUCCGAACACUUUGUUCUCACUUCCUGACCAGUCUCAGAAGCUCAAGUGGUCGAAUGUUUUAGCCUCAGAAUCUUGUUCCCCAAGCCCUCUCAGGUGGAGCCCCACUGCACCAGACACCACAGCACAGCCCUGUGAGGCUGUGUCUCCUCACUCCGUUUCUGGGGCUGCUGAGGCCCCUGGGAAGCCCUGGAGCUUGCCAGAGCAGAGCGCGCAAGUCUCUGGUCCCGUUUAAAUGCCUCUCCCUUUUAUCUGUGAACCCGGGGCUGGAGCCACUCUUUGUCUUCUCACCGUGCCCCUACAGGUCAUGGCCUCAGUUCUUCAGUGGCUACUGGGGCAGCGGGUGCUGCGACGUCUGGUUUGGGACCUCUGUGGCUGCUUCCAGCCUGCUAGUGGAAUGAACCUCUUUGUAUCACCACAUUCUUCUCUGGUGGUGCCCCUGAGGGCUCAGGCCUGAGGGUGCUCCUUUGUCUUCAGUUGGGACAGGCAGCCUCCACUCUGGGAGCUCCCAUCCCUCAGGGUGCCCAGGAGAGGCCAUACUUUCAGGGUGGCAUGGUGAAUUCAGGGCUUGGGAUGGGUAGGUGGUCUUUCAGCCCCUUCUACCUUAGAUUGGUUUACAGAACACCUGUCCUGCCUGUGCCAGCCUGGAUCUCUGGGCACCCCCGGCACGCUGUCCUGAAGGUUGUCUGUCUCCUGCAUAGGAGGAUCUAGAGCGGGCCUUGCCCUGGGCCCGUCUGCGUGGCUUCAUACGCUUCAUUUGUGCUCAGCCAUGGUUGAGCAUGCGAUGGAGACCACUUGGGCUGCCCCUGAUGCCGCAGGCCACUGUUCUUAUCCAGCGGGCCGAAUGAGUGAUUGCUAGUGGUAGGUUGACUGGAAGAAUGGAAGUCACAGCCCCUGCUCAUGGCUUCCUCAGCUCCCUGGGGUUGGAGGACUGUCAUCAGUUGUCCCCAGUUAAAGUCCAUUUGGAGGAUGUCAUCAGUUGUCCCCAGUUAAAGUCCAUUUGGAGGAGGUUCAGGGUCCCAGUGGCUGGAUGUGCUUCCGGAGGGACAGGGUUUUGGAGGACUGUCAUCAGUUGUCCCCAGUUAAAGUCCAUUUGGAGGAGGUUCAGGGUCCCGGUGGCUGGAUGUGCUUCCGGAGGGACAGGGUUUGAGGCAGGGAUUUGCAGAAGGUGUGGACUGCAUCCUUUCUUGGGAGGCUGUGGCACAAGGCAGCGAAACUUGGGACAAAUCAAGACCCAUCCACACUGCACCUCAGGGACCUCACCUCGCCCCACAUACAUGUACUUAUAGGGGACCGGGGGUGGUGGCUUCUGCCUGAAAUCCCAGCGCUCUGGAACGCCAAGGCAGGAGGAUCACGUUAGUUCAGGAGUCUGAAACCAGCCUGGGCAACAUAGGGAGACCCCAUCUUUACAGAAAAUAAAAGAAAAUGAGCCAGGUGUGGUGGUGUUUGCCUGUAACCCCAGCUACUCAGGAGGCCGAGGCAGGAGGAUCCCCAAGCCCAGGAGUUCGAGGCUGCAGUGAGUUAUGGCCUCUGCACUCCAGCCUGGGUGACAGAGUGAGAGGCCUUAUCUAUAAUAAAAAUAGUAAUAAAAUGUGCUUUGGGGUCAGGUGUGGAGAUCAGGGUCGGGGAGGUCAUGAGGUAGGGGUCAGGAUGUGGACAGUCACAGGCUGGUGGGUGUGGCAGCCGUGAGGGGUGGGUGGUGGGCUGGGAGACAGGGCCUGGGCAGGGCUUCUGCACUUCCGCUGCCCCCUGUGGGUUCGAGGACUCUUCUUGACAAGGGCUGAGCUCUCAGGCACUGCGUUGGGCUCAGCUGCCUGCUGGGAGGCUGGGGAGAAUGGACCCGUGAGGCCUUGUUUGUCUUCUUCCCUGUCCAGCUCCUGUAGACCCCAGGCCUGGCUGUCUGCAGGGCCAGGAGCUGCAGCCACCAGCCUCCCAGGUGAGCCCCAGCUCCCGGCCCUGCACGCCUGCUCCUUUGCCCGUGUGGACUCGGCUCUGGUGUCUGCUUCCACACAUGGACCCUCAGACCCUACACAUCUGUUGUUUCCCUUGCAGGGCAGUGAUGAUAACAUUAAAUGAGGUGGGGUCACUCGUGUUUAGAUAUGAGACUGGGGCCCAGGGAGGGGCAGGUGUGAAGUUGCUGAGGGCAGAGGGAGACCCACGGCUACCUGCUCCUGGUGACCAGCAUCAUGUUCACUGCUCACUCCCUGCCAUUCACCAGCUGCAUGACCUUGAGCAGUGCCCUCAACUGUAAACAGAGGUGAAAACACUCCUUUACCAGCCUUUUUAGGGGCCACUCUUGUGUGAGGCCUUGAACCUCAUUUCAGUUCCGUGGUGGUCCUGAGCCUCUGAAUCUGGGCAUGGCCCCUGCUGGGUCCUGGUCUCAAAGGCAGCGUGAUGGCCUCCCUGCUCAGGCCCUCCUGGGAGGCCCACUGGCCAUGGCUGGGCCCUCUCUCAGGGAACCUGUCAGCGUGGCCAUCUCCACACCCCGGCUGGCUGGGAGGCGAGAUACGAGGUGCUCAAAGGCCGUCUAUGUCUGUGGGCAGUCCCGUCCCACACAGGCCAGGAUUAUUGGGCCUCCUUAUCAGCCAAAGGAACUGAGGUCCAGAGCAGGGAAUGUGUUGCCCAGUGUCAGAGCAUGGUCUGCUCUGGGGUCAGGUGUCUUGCCCUGGUCCUAAGCCACUCCAAGCCAAGGCAUGUCCCUGGGCCCAUUUCCCCUCUCGAGGUCUCGGGGUCCCUAUUUCUGAUGUGUGUGAAAGGAAGGCCUGUCCUCUGGGGUGGCCAUGAGGCUCCGUGGGAGGAGCUGCCAUGCUUGAGCCAGGACUUGGCACCUGGCCAGCCUUUUUCUCUGUCAUUGUACCUUGAUGGGUUGUCAGUUCUAAAGAGAAGAAAUACACUAGGAAUCCUGUUCUCCCUCCCCGUUCUCCCUGGCAGAGGAAAGUGACCACACCCCCAUGGUGUGGACAUACGGACGCUCCUCCACGAAGCAGCAAAGUUCUGUUGUUUCAGGAGGCUGUGGGCCCUGAGGAUGUGGUAGUGACCUCACCAGAGGAGCUGGCAAUUCCUAAGUGCUGCCCGGAGGCCUCUACAGAGACAUAAUGUUGGAGAACUUCUGCCUCUUGGCAGUGCUGGGUAAGACCCCUUUGUCCCCACCAGUGCCCUUGAGGGUAUGGGUGUUGGUCGGUGUGUGGCGUCCAUCUCCGUAAUAAUGGUAUUAAGGACUGCAUGUUUGUGUCCCCCCCAAAGUUUAUAUGUUGAAACCCUGACCCCAGUAGGGUGGUAUUAGGAGGUGGGGCCUUUGGGAGGUGACUAGGCUUAGGUGAGGUCAUGAGGGUGGGGCUCCCCGAUGAGAUUGAGUUCUUAAAAGGAAGGAACUAGAGCAAGGUCUCUUUCUGCUGUGUGAUCAUACAAGAAAAUUGCCAUCUUUCAAGCUGGGUGCAGUGGUUGACGCCUGUAAUCCCAGCACUGGAAGGCCAAGGCAUUAGGAUUGCUUUGAGUCCAGGAGUUCGAGACCAGCCUAGGCAUGAUAAGACCUUAUCGCUAAAAGGAAGAAAUAAAAUAAAAAACUGCCAUCUGCAAAUCAGAAAGAGCCUUCAGCAGACACCAGACUGCCAGUGCCUUUGAUAUUGGACUUUCAGUCCCCAGAUCUGUGAGAAAUUAAUUUCUGUUGUUUAAACCACCUAGCCUGUGGUAUUUUGUUAUAGCAAUCCAAACUGAGACAGGCAGUAAGGAGAGAACAGAGGUUCCAGCCUGCUUCAGGUCCAGGCAGUUCUGCCAUUGCCCUCGACUCCUCAGUUCCAGUCAUGGGCCAGGCUCCUGGGGGACUUGGGAUGAGUAAAACGUGCACCUGUCAUUAAGGUUCACCUGGUCUAGAAGGGGAGGCAGACCCACACUGCCCACCAUGACCCGGACAGUGGUGAUAAAUACAGAGCACCUCAUGGCCAGGGCCUGGGGGAUUCCCACCCUGCCCUACCCAGUGCCAAUAACAGAGGGACUCUGCAGAGUUGUGUACACAAGAUAGCAGUUUAGUUCUUGCACACAUACUAGUUGAGAAGGGAAAUCAGGGCUGAUGAAACAGCUCAACUGUCUGGCAGAGCCAGGCUCCUUCUGCCAUGAUGCAGUUUGGAUGUUUGUCCCUUCUAAUCGUAUAUGGAAAUUUGAUCCCCAGUGUUGAAGGUGGGGCCUGAUGGGAGAUGUUCCUGUUAUCGGGAUGGAUCCUUCAUUAGUAGCCUGGUGCCAUCUUUGUGGUAACAAGUGAGUUCUCACUUGAUUAGUUUCUGUGAGAACUGUUUGUUAAAGAGAGCCUGGCACCUCCCUCCCUUCUUCCUCUUGCUAUGUGAUGCUGCUCCCCUUUGCCUUCCAUCAUGAGUGGAAGCUCCCUGAAUUCCCCACCAGAAGCAAAUGCUGGCACCAUGCUACUUGUACAGCCUGCAGAACUGUGAGCCAAAUAAACCUCUUUUCUUUAUAAAUUA